rnacentral:lncRNA from 1 species
AUGACAAAAGAGCAGCCUCUGAAGCAUGUUCUGCCAGGGGUCCCCCGUCCCUUCUGGGGGUGCCUCUGGCAGUCCUUCCAUGACAGGGUGCCCAUGCCAGCCACUCCCCUUGGCUUCGUGGUACCUCCCCACUGGUGCUUGCACGCUGUCGCACCCGGGCUCCUUGGCAGGAGCCCAAGACUCCUCCAGCCCGUCUUCCUGGAGCCACGAUCUGCUCCACUGCCAGCCUUUCUCUGCCUGUGUCUCAGCAAGAGGCUCCCGCUGCUGUCUGGGAGGCCCCGAGGAGGAUCUCCCGCCUCUUCUCUUCCAGCCUGGGCUCGUCCGUCUGCCCGGAUGAUGAUGAGGUGCCCUUGCUGCUCCUGGUGAUCGGAAGAGCGCCUUUAAAGCCAACAAAUAAGGCUACCAUGAACACAAACUAAACAUUCUCUGGUAACAAGGGUGGACUCUUCGAGCUAAGAUUGGUUGUUCCAUUAGGACAUUUCCUCAAGACCGUGUGGGGCACCCCCACUCUCUUCCCCUCCAGAUGCUGCACCCGCUCCCACCUUCAGCUUCGGCUUCCCAUUCCAGGGGGAGACCCACCGAGAGGAGUUGCUUUGUGGGGAAAACAUCUUGCUUGACUGGCAAGAGAGCUUCGACUCGGGACAGGCACCGAAUUCUGCUGCCGUCCUCUUGAGCAGGCGUUUCCUAGAGCCUCCCACAGAAAGCAUCCUCGGGGGCCUCUCUUGAGACAAGCAGCCCCCCACCAGGCUCACGACUUUCUCUCUGCCUGCCCUCCUAGUUUGGCACAUGUAGGUGGCUGGGAAGGCCCUGGCCUACCUUGCAGGGCCACUGUCAGCAUCCCUGAGGGAAGGGACAAGGAGCACCCUCUGGAUUGCAAGGAGCCUCUGGUUCCAGCUGGCUUGUCCUGAGCCUGGAAGCUGAAAGAACUCGGGAGACAACCAGUUCCAGCACUCUCCGAUGUGAAGUACCACCAAACAAGAAAGCCGGGUGGGCACGUCAGAGAGGUGCCAGCCACCCCCCUGUGUGGGGGGGUGGGGGUGGGGGUAGGGAAGCAGGAGGGCACCCGGCGCGAGUGGUUUUUCAAGCCAGGCAUCCCCCCCCCCGACUCGAGGUGGCCCCGAGCAACUCACAGCCGCCAGGCACGUAGGAGAGGCGUCCUGCAGCCCUCUCUCCUCCACACCCCUCACCCUCUGCUGUGAUUGCCAAGACAGGCUGCUG